AAUAUUGCGCAAUGGGGGCAACCCUGACGCAGCCAUGCCGCGUGAAUGAAGAAGGCCUUCGGGUUGUAAAGUUCUUUCGGUAGCGAGGAAGGCAUUUAGUUUAAUAGACUAGGUGAUUGACGUUAACUACAGAAGAAGCACCGGCUAACUCCGUGCCAGCAGCCGCGGUAAUACGGAGGGUGCGAGCGUUAAUCGGAAUAACUGGGCGUAAGGGGCACGCAGGCGGUGACUUAAGUGAGGUGUGAAAGCCCCGGGCUUAACCUGGGAAUUGUAUUUCAUACUGGGUCGCUAGAGUACUUUAGGGAGGGGUAGAAUUCCACGUGUAGCGGUGAAAUGCGUAGAGAUGUGGAGGAAUACCGAAGGCGAAGGCAGCCCCUUGGGAAUGUACUGACGCUCAUGUGCGAAAGCGUGGGGAGCAAACAGGAUUAGAUACCCUGGUAGUCCACGCUGUA
rnacentral:rRNA from 1 species